rnacentral:tRNA from 1 species
GGGGUUGUAGCUCAGGGGUAGAGUGCAUGCUAGCAUGCAUGAGGCACUGGGUUUGAUCCUCAGUCCCCCA